rnacentral:rRNA from 1 species
CCUACGGGUGGCAGCAGUGGGGAAUAUUGGGCAAUGGGCGCAAGCCUGACCCAGCAACGCCGCGUGAAGGAAGAAGGCUUUCGGGUUGUAAACUUCUUUUAAGAGGGAAGAGCAGAAGACGGUACCUCUUGAAUAAGCCACGGCUAACUACGUGCCAGCAGCCGCGGUAAUACGUAGGUGGCAAGCGUUGUCCGGAUUUACUGGGUGUAAAGGGCGUGCAGCCGGGAAGACAAGUCAGAUGUGAAAUCCCGCGGCUCAACCGCGGAACUGCAUUUGAAACUGGUUUUCUUGAGUGAAGUAGAGGUUGGCGGAAUUCCGAGUGUAGCGGUGAAAUGCGUAGAUAUUCGGAGGAACACCGGUGGCGAAGGCGGCCAACUGGGCUUUAACUGACGCUGAGGCUCGAAAGUGUGGGGAGCAAACAGGAUUAGAUACCCUUGUAGUC